CAGUAGUUUACUACAGAAAAUGACUGAGCGGCGAACGGGUGAGUAACGCGUGAGCAACCUACCUUAGUUACUGGGAUAGCCCGAGGAAACUCGGAUUAAUACCGGAUAUUCUUAUUUAAUCACAUGAUUUUUUAAGGAAAGGUCAGCCGAACUAAGAUGGGCUCGCGUUCUAUCAGCUAGUUGGUAGGGUAAUGGCCUACCAAGGCUACGACGGAUAGCUGGUCUGAGAGGACGAUCAGCCACACUGGGACUGAGACACGGCCCAGACUCCUACGGGAGGCUGCAGCAGGGAAUAUUGCGCAAUGAGCGAAAGCUUGACGCAGCGACACCGCGUGUGGGAUGACGGAUCUAGGUUUGUAAACCACUUUCAGGAGGGAAGAAAAUGAC
rnacentral:rRNA from 1 species